UCGGACGGGUGAGUAACGCGUGAGAAUCUACCUUCAGGUUGGGGACAACCACUGGAAACGGUGGCUAAUACCGAAUGUGCCGAGAGGUGAAAGGCUUGCUGCCUGAAGAAGAGCUUGCGUCUGAUUAGCUAGUUGGUAGUGUAAGAGACUACCAAGGCGACGAUCAGUAGCUGGUCUGAGAGGAUGAUCAGCCACACUGGGACUGAGACACGGCCCAGACUCCUACGGGAGGCAGCAGUGGGGAAUUUUCCGCAAUGGGCGAAAGCCUGACGGAGCAAUACCGCGUGAGGGAGGAAGGCUCUUGGGUUGUAAACCUCUUUUCUCAGGGAAGAACAGAAUGACGGUACCUGAGGAAUAAGCAUCGGCUAACUCCGUGCCAGCAGCCGCGGUAAUACGGAGGAUGCAAGCGUUAUCCGGAAUGAUUGGGCGUAAAGGGUCCGCAGGUGGCAUUGUAAGUCUGCUGUUAAAGAGUUUGGCUCAACCAAAUAAGAGCAGUGGAAACUACAAAGCUAGAGUGUGGUCGGGGCAGAGGGAAUUCCUGGUGUAGCGGUGAAAUGCGUAGAUAUCAGGAAGAACACCAGUGGCGAAGGCGCUCUGCUAGGCCGAGACUGACACUUGAGAACG
rnacentral:rRNA from 1 species